rnacentral:lncRNA from 1 species
GCUUAACCUAAAUUUUUUCCUUUAAUAGGGCAAUUCUUGCUAUUGAAUGACAUAUUAUGACUGUCUAAUGACUAUUUUAUAGUUUAGUAAUUACUCACACACGACCUCUAAAUCCUUUCAAAAUAAAAGCACCAAUCCAGAUUUUUAGCUUUAAUAGCACUAUUUGUGCUUUUGAAUGGGUAAUCAUGACUGGUUAGUGUGACUGUUUUACAGUUUAGCUAUUAAGCACGUACAGCCCCUCUACAUCCUUUCAAAAUAAAAGCCCCAAUCCUGAUCUUUAGCUAAAGAUAACAAUAGUUCUGCUUUCAACAGGUGUAUUAUGACUAGUUAUUUAGACUAAUAUACUGUUUAGCAAAUACCUGCACAGGCAUUUUCCAUAUUCUUUUAAAAUAAAAGCACCAAUCCAAAUUUUUAGCUUUAAUAGGACUAUUUAUACUUUUUAAUGGGUAAUCGUGACUGGUUAUUGUGACUGUUUUACAGUUUAGCUAUUAAGCACACACAGCUUCUCCACAUCCUUUCAAAAUAAAAGCCCAAAUCCUGAUUUUUAACUAAAGAUAGCAAUAUUUCUGCUUCCAACAGGUUUAUUAUGACUAUUUAUUUAGACUAAAAUACUGCACACACAGUUUCUCCAAAUCCUUUCAAAAUAAAAGCCCCAUUCCAGAUCUUUAGCUAAAAAGGGCAAUAUUUCUGCGUUCAGCUGGUGUAUUGUUACUAGAUGAUAAGACAAUCUUAAUGUUUAGAAAUCGCCUGCACAAGUGUCCUCGAUAUCCUUUCAAAAUAAAAAUAAAAUUCACAAAAAAAAAAAAAUAAUAAUAACCACAGCUGAGCUACAGCUGACAAACAACAAAAACACAAUUUAGAAAUACUAAUAACAUAAAAUCACUGCAAAGCAGGUACUAAAUAGAUAGUUAACAAACAACAGACACAGAACUAAAUGACUGCCACAAAACGGCAGAGAAAGCUCUUGGAUUAAGGGCUG